AGCGAACGCUGGCGGCAGGCUUAACACAUGCAAGUCGAGCGGGCACUUUCGGGUGUCAGCGGCGGACGGGUGAGUAACGCGUGGGAACGUGCCCUCUGGUUCGGAAUAACUCAGGGAAAAUUGAGCUAAUACCGGAUACGCCCUUUUGGGGAAAGGCUUGCUGCCGGAGGAUCGGCCCGCGUCUGAUUAGCUAGUUGGUGAGGUAACGGCUCACCAAGGCGACGAUCAGUAGCUGGUCUGGGAGGAUGAUCAGCCACACUGGGACUGAGACACGGCCCAGACUCCUACGGGAGGCAGCAGUGGGGAAUAUUGGACAAUGGGCGCAAGCCUGAUCCAGCCAUGCCGCGUGAGUGAUGAAGGCCUUAGGGUUGUAAAGCUCUUUUAUCCGGGACGAUAAUGACGGUACCGGAGGAAUAAGCCCCGGCUAACUUCGUG
rnacentral:rRNA from 1 species